AGAACGAACGCUGGCGGCAUGCCUAACACAUGCAAGUCGAACGAGACCUUCGGGUCUAGUGGCGCACGGGUGCGUAACGCGUGGGAAUCUGCCCUUAGGUACGGAAUAACAGUGAGAAAUUACUGCUAAUACCGUAUGAUGUCUUCGGACCAAAGAUUUAUCGCCUAGGGAUGAGCCCGCGUUGGAUUAGCUAGUUGGUGGGGUAAAGGCCUACCAAGGCGACGAUCCAUAGCUGGUCUGAGAGGAUGAUCAGCCACACUGGGACUGAGACACGGCCCAGACUCCUACGGGAGGCAGCAGUGGGGAAUAUUGGACAAUGGGCGAAAGCCUGAUCCAGCAAUGCCGCGUGAGUGAAGAAGGCCUUCGGUUGUAACGCUUCUUUACCCGGGAAGAUAAUGACUGUACCGGGAGAAUACGCCCGGCUAACUCCGCGCCAGCAGCCGC
rnacentral:rRNA from 1 species